rnacentral:lncRNA from 1 species
UUAUUUCUGAAUCAUUCCAUGCCUAAAUGUGGGCUCCUCUCAUCCAAAGGAAUGACUGCACACACAAACUGUGUUGUUCUGCGCAUUGAGCUGCUGGGAUUAGAUAUACUCUGACUGAACGCAGUGACCUUCAAAUGCUUCCAUGGAAGAAGAUCUGUUUCUUAAGCCAAAUAAUUAACCACUGCAGGAUGGAUGUUGCCUCAGUAUCUAUUGAAUUUCUUGCACAGGGUGUAAUCACUCACUACUUAAUUGCUAUGUAAUUUUAUUAUUAUCUGUAAAAUGUUUUUCAGAAAGGAAAGAUAUAAUUGUAAAUGGUCUGAUGUAAACUGACCUAUUUCUAGUGACUUUCAGUAAUUACAAGUCCCUAGCUGGUAUAAAUGAGUAACUG